rnacentral:piRNA from 1 species
UGCUUAUAUACCAUGAUACCUGUAAUGAAC